GAAUUGUCAACCAGAUAAUGGCACUACAGCCUGUGUGUUCUUAGUGACUCUGAGGAUAGCACUGUGGUUCUGUGACAGAUAAUGAAGGAUUUGGAAGCAGGAAUGCCCAGGAGCUCCCAGAAGUGGGAAGAGAUGAGAGGAAUGGAAGGAACUUACCUGAAGGUGAAGGCAUCAGGCUAGGGGACCAAGGGAGAAGGUGUCCUGAGAGGAAGCAAAACUUUUGCCCCUGGCAAUCAUCUCCAUAUUCCAAGGUGUCACAUUCUGCCAUAAAGAUACAAAGCAAAACUGGGGCCACUGCAUGAUUCAAGUGUCCAGAUCCUUCCUCAGGUCUCCAAAGGAAAAUAGCUUGCCACUUUCAUAAGCUGCUUUGUAAAUGCCAGAUCGAUACAGGAGAAGCAACAUUUUUUUAGGAUACAGGACACAUAAGAAUGACUCAAGGUAAAGUCAAGUGAAGACACGGUUAUGUCCCUUUGUUCAUAAGGAGAUAGACACAAGCCUCCACCAUGGUAUGGGCUAGUGCAAGGGGCUUCGAUUUUGGAGGAGAGGGGUGAGUGGGCAGUUGGAAAAGAGAGAGGGGUUGUCCAAUGAACAUCUGUAACUGACAGGAGCAGAGGAAGGCACAUCCUAUUUUAUAGGAUGGAAAUCCUUCUAUGCACCUCUAAUCUGCCACAACUUCUUUAAUGCAAGAUUCAUACAAAAAACAAAGCAGCUAGGGCAAUUGUUUAAGAAGCAGACCUUCAUUGCUGGAAAGGUCUGAGUUUGAGUCAGCUCUGUAGCUUUCCUGUGUGCCUGUGAGCAAGUUUUUCAGCCUUAUUGAGCCCAACUCUCCCAUAAAAUUAGGAUAAUAAAAAAGACCACUUCAUAUGAUUGUCAUGAGAGGUACAUGAGAUAGGUAAGAAAAGUGCUUUGCCUAGAGCCUGGUAUAAGUUUUCAAUAGGCAUUAAGCAUAUUUCAUAGAGGAAACUUGACCUGCCAAUGAAAAGGACACUUUCCUUUAUAUCUUAAUUAUUUUUAAUGGAAACAUUCUAAGCUGAAGUGGAUAUUUUUCAGACUCAUUAAAU
rnacentral:lncRNA from 10 species